rnacentral:rRNA from 1 species
CACGAACGCUGGCGGCAGGCUUAACACAUGCAAGUCGAGCGCCCCGCAAGGGGAUCGGUCGACGGGUGAGUAACGCGUGGGAAUCUACCCAUCUCUACGGAAUAACGCAUGGAAACGUGUGCUAAUACCGUAUACGUCCUUCGGGAGAAAGAUUUAUCGGAGAUGGAUGAGCCCGCGUUGGAUUAGAUAGUUGGUGGGGUAAAGGCCUACCAAGGCGACGAUCCAUGGCUGGUCUGAGAGGAUGAUCAGCCACACUGGGACUGAGACACGGCCCAGACUCCUACGGGAGGCAGCAGUGGGGAAUAUUGGACAAUGGGCGCAAGCCUGAUCCAGCCAUGCCGCGUGAGUGAUGAAGGCCCUAGGGUUGUAAAGCUCUUUCACCGGUGAAGAUAAUGACGGUAACCGGAGAAGAAGCCCCGGCUAACUUCGUGCCAGCAGCCGCGGUAA